GGCCCAUUAGCUCAGUUGGCAGAGCAUCUGACUUUUAAUCAGGGUGUCCCGCGUUCGAGUCGCGGAUGGGUCACCA
rnacentral:tRNA from 1 species